UACGUAGGGUGCAAGCGUUGUCCGGAAUUAUUGGGCGUAAAGAGCUCGUAGGCGGUUUGUCGCGUCUGCUGUGAAAUCUGGGGGCUCAACCCCCAGCCUGCAGUGGGUACGGGCAGACUAGAGUGCGGUAGGGGAGAUUGGAAUUCCUGGUGUAGCGGUGGAAUGCGCAGAUAUCAGGAGGAGCACCGAUGGCGAAGGCAGAUCUCUGGGCCGUAACUGACGCUGAGGAGACGAAAGCAUGGGGAGCGAACAGG
rnacentral:rRNA from 1 species